rnacentral:rRNA from 1 species
ACGGGUGAGUAACACGUGGAUAACCUACCUAUAAGACUGGGAUAACUUCGGGAAACCGGAGCUAAUACCGGAUAACAUAUUGAACCGCAUGGUUCAAUAGUGAAAGGCGGCUUUGCUGUCACUUAUAGAUGGAUCCGCGCCGUAUUAGCUAGUUGGUAAGGUAACGGCUUACCAAGGCAACGAUACGUAGCCGACCUGAGAGGGUGAUCGGCCACACUGGAACUGAGACACGGUCCAGACUCCUACGGGAGGCGGCAGUAGGGAAUCUUCCGCAAUGGGCGAAAGCCUGACGGGGCAACGCCGCGUGAGCGAUGAAGGUCUUCGGAUCGUAAAACUCUGUUAUCAGGGAAGAACAAAUGUGUAAGUAACUGUGCACAUCUUGACGGUACCUGAUCAGAAAGCCACGGCUAACUACGUGCCAGCAGCCGCGGUAAUACGUAGGUGGCAAGCGUUAUCCGGGAUUAUUGGGCGUAAAGCGCGCGUAGGCGGUUUUUUAAGUCUGAUGUGAAAGCCCACGGCUCAACCGUGGAGGGUCAUUGGAAACUGGAAAACUUGAGUGCAGAAGAGGAAAGUGGAAUUC